GACGAACCGUGCGAACGUUGUUCGGAUUCACUGGGCUUAAAGGGUGCGCAGGCGGCUCGCCAAGCCCGAAGUGAAAUGCCCCGGCCUAACCGGGGACGUGCUUCGGGGACUGGCGGGCUCGGGCGAGCUAGGGGUCUGUGGAACUCCCGGUGGAGCGGUGAAAUGUGUUGAGAUCGGGAGGAACGUCGGUGGCGAAAGCGACAGACUGGGGCUUUGCCGACGCUCAUGCACGAAAGCCAGGGGAGCGAACGGG
rnacentral:rRNA from 1 species